GCCUACGGGGGGCAGCAGUGGGGAAUAUUGCACAAUGGGGGGAACCCUGAUGCAGCGACGCCGCGUGAGCGAAGAAGUAUUUCGGUAUGUAAAGCUCUAUCAGCAGGGAAGAAAAUGACGGUACCUGACUAAGAAGCACCGGCUAAAUACGUGCCAGCAGCCGCGGUAAUACGUAUGGUGCAAGCGUUAUCCGGAUUUACUGGGUGUAAAGGGAGCGUAGACGGCUGUGCAAGUCUGAAGUGAAAGGCCGGGGCCCAACCCCCGGACUGCUCUGGAAACUGUACGGCUGGAGUGCAGGAGAGGUA
rnacentral:rRNA from 1 species